rnacentral:tRNA from 1 species
GUUUUAAUAAUUUAAUACUAAAAUAUUGGUCUUGUAAAUCAAAAAUAAGUCAUCUUUUAAAACU